UUUCAUCAGCAUUUAAAUGCUGAUAUUUGGGAGUAGAGGGUAACUUGUAUUCUACCAAGUGAAGCAUUCUUAGAGUGGUUGCUUUCCCUGUUUGUUCAAUAGACUGAUAAUGCUGGAAUCUACAGAGUUUGAGCCUUUACAGUUUAUGUGAAAAAGUGUUUCAAACACUUCAGGUCAAAUAUUAUUUUGUAUUUGUGGAAAUAUGUAAAUAAUCUUCUAAGCCACUUUAAAACCCAUGGUUCCAAGUUGGAAAUUGGUGAGAAAUUUGUUUUCCUCUUACACCAUUUGACAUUUCAAAUCAGUGAUCGUGUUCCUGCCAUGUUUCAAACAACUCCAUUAAGCUUGUGAUAUAAACUGUGUUUUCCCACUCUUUGGAAUAAGAUUCAUACACAUGCGCUUACUUGAGUAUUGUUUAAGGUCACUGACAUGGCAGGCCAGUUCCUCUCGAUAUAUAUGGUCCAAUAUCAUCUCAUCCAGGAGGCUUGAAACUAGAAUGGUUUAGUCUUAUGGAUUUUAACAGUUCUCUGUCAUUGUUUAAGAAAACCAACAACUGGCACAACUUGUUAAGCUGUGGCUCCAGUCUCUGCUAGUUCAUAUUGCAUGUUUAUUUUGGACAGUCUUUUGUUAAGCAUGGUGCCUGUACUGGUUUAAAUAAAGUGUUAACAUAAAAGAAAAAAAAAUGGGUGCUGUGGGGAGCUCUUAUGGCUUUUGUGGUUCGGUUGAUAGUGAUGGUGUUAUUACAGUCCUAGGGUAAGGCUGCUUAGGCAGUGUUGAAGGUUAUACAGGUGGUGGGCCCUAUAACAUGGGAUGCAGUGUAGUCAUAGGGUACAGAACUGGUGUCUGUGCUGUGUGGUGUGGCAAUGUGGCCCAGUGCAGAAAAUUCCCAUUCUCUCAUUGGCAGGCAGAGCGGGCAGUCCUGGCCCAAGGAUGAUCCCAAGGAUUGGAGGAAGGCCUGGGUGCAGGGGCACAAAGACUUGAGCCAUCUUCUGCUUUCCCAGAGAGCUGGAUCAGAAGUGGAGCAGCCAGGACUUCAACCGGUGCCCAUAAGGGAUGGUGGCACUGCAGGUACAAGUAUUUUCAGUCAUCUUGAGUAUGAGCUAGGAAUGGAGUAGCUGAGUCCGACAGCAACUCUUCAUAUCUCCAUUUGGACAACUGCUUGAACACUACAGUGGCUGCACCAUUUCACACUCUCACCAUCAAUGGGUGAGGUUUCAGUUUAGAAUUCAUGAGGUGCAAUACUAAAUGAGAGGCGUGGAGGCUUAUUUUCUGCCAUGGCCAUUGGAUGUUUAGAGCAUCAUUUGCUGUGUUUGUCGUCUGCCCAGGAUGUUCCCACCACCAGGGAAAUACAGAAGACUUUCCAGGUCCGGAUGUCUGUCUGCCUGUCCUGCUAUGUGAACUUGAGGGUAGCACACUGGGGAGGGCGCAAUCCUGGGUGGCAGAGCGCUUUCUGGUGCACACAUGUCUGUUGGGCCUACUUAAGUUUACCUGUAGGCAGGGCAGCUGGUCCCCAGAGGCAUCUGGGUGCAGCCUCAUUUUCAAGGGAGUCCCAGGGUUUCUGGCUUCUCCUUGUGUUAAACCUGGCUCUGCUGUUGAGUAGACUGCAGAGAGCAGGGCCUCUAGCCUCAGUGGGGAUCUCAUACUCCCAUGUCACUGAGUGGUCAGGACACAGUGAGAGACCCACGCAAAGACAGAGGCCUGCAGGGGCUCACCCCUCAGCUGUUCAUACUCACCUCUCCCCACAACAGCCCAGGGCUUGCAUCUCUUUCCUCUGCCCUCUCUGUCCCCUGUGCUGGGGCAGCCUGCCUCUCUAGGACCCUACAGUUCAUCAGGGCAUCAGGCUGCACCACUAGACAUGGUGAGAAUACCCUCAGCUCAGCUUCCUGGGGGUGGGCUCUAGCCAUUAGACCCCAGGACCUGGAACUAGACAUGACCAUGAGCUCAUGACCUUGAGAUGGGGACAUCGGCUGUCCUGAGUGGUGGACACUCCACUCUGUGCCCUCCCAGUGCUGGGGAGCACAGAAUCCCUGGGGCCCUCCCUGCCAAGGCAGCCAAACUGAGCUGCCUGGCAUUCUGCAGGACAGGUGCACCCAGUGCCACCCAUUCCCUCCAGUUGGCCUGACCUGGGCCCCAGGCUGGCAGGUGUGCAGGGUGCACAGGCAGCAGGUGAUCUGGGACAAUAUCCAGAGGGACAGUCAUGGGGCCAGUGCUGUCAGUGGGUGUGAUCCAGGCCAUUCCCAGGAACACACACAGGUCAGCAUUCCAGUGCCCCAGCUUCCUCCUCCACAGGCAUCCCUCAGCCCCAGUGGAUCAGCUGAGAAGCCCGUUGUCGCUCCCCGUCUUUGUGGAGGAACGACACAGGACCCUGCGCUGUUCUUUCGUCUGCUCGGCCCUCCCCGGGUUUGCUGCUGGUUCUUCCCGGGUUGGCUACCGACCCUUCCACCUCCGUGGAAGGGCGGUUCCCCCUGCCACAUUCCCCACUUACGCGGGGGAGUGGCACACCGCCGGCCAGCUCUCUCGGGGGCUGCACAGGUGUUCCUUCAGAUAGAUGUUCCCCUUAGAUGUUCCUGGUGCAUGUUGUCUCUCUCCUCCUUUAUAGUCCUCUUCCACCAAUCCCAACUCUGCUACCCACACGCUGAGUACGCUGCUCUCCUCCAAUCAGGAGUAGGUCCUACAGUUUAUUGGUCGAACUGGAGGCAGCUGUGUAGAAGCUGUUUCUCCCUUCUCAGCGCAAUAUUGUGGGAGAGCAGAUGCAUAGAAUACGUCUUAAUUCCAGUAACUUAUUCUAGUCCAAGUUGCUCCCCACACCCGUUAAGUAAAUCCCUGUGACUAUGAUCUCUUGGAGAUAGUCCUACCCUUCCCACUCCUUCCUGGCCUGCUGUGCUGCCCUCUUGUUUGCCCACAGGGUCCUCGGGCCCCGACAGUCUGGGCUUACAGUGGGGAGGGGAGUCCUCAUGUGGGAUCAGCACAGCCGUGACCUGGGUGGGGCCCCCCCAAGGGGUUCCUCAUCUGCAAAUGGGGAGUGAUAGCAGUGCCUCCCCAUGGCUGAGACAUGGUCACCCGUGUGCCUGGCCAGGGGCUGGGAAAUCCCAGGAGCUCGGGGAAAGAGCAGUCACUGUGCUUGGGGAUAUCCUCUGUGUCUCCAUGUUCCCAGCCAAGACCCACCCAUGUCACCUGCACACCAGGCAGUCUGGGGCACAUGGGGUCCCAGACAAGGCCCCCCUGUCUCCUGAGCAGUGAGCAAAACCCUGCUCGGAUCCUUCUGCCAGUGACCCAUUGUUGAGUGCAGGGACAGAGACUGUGACAGCUUCUGUGUGUAUGUGUGGCCCCAGGACCCAAACUGUGCCUUCAGUGUAAGAACCCUUUCCCUUUCUUGUGUACUCCUCAUACUGGAAGCAGGGGGCCCAAUGUGUGCAGGGAGGUGUAGAGCAUCGCAUUCCCUGUGCCGGUGAUAGCUGUGGGCAGGGCUGCCUUCCCAUCUCACAGAUGAGGACACUGAGGCUGCAGGGAGAACACCCACUGCAGGUCAGAUCUGUGACCUCAGAGUCCGCGUCCCUGACCAUGAGGAGGCGCCGCCACAGCCCUGCAAGCAUCUCCCUGUUCUUUGCUUUCCUUGGCCAUCCCAGCACUUGGUGCUCUUUGUCCAAAUGGGGAACCCUGGCUCUGCCCCUGGGGAAGUGCCAGUGUCCUCUGCAGGGGAUCCAGGUCCCUGGCAUUGGGGCCAUGGUGCAGGGAGAGUGGGGUGGGGAGGGCACAGUAUGGGGAGUUUGCAUGGUGUGAAUUGCACACUUCGCAGUGGGUAAUCAAUUAAAUUUUAUUUUGGUAAAGCAACAAUAAGGUGGAGACAAGGAACACAAUGGGGAGGAUUAAAGAGAAAUACAGGAACACCGGGGUGGGGAAGGGCAGGUGUGGCACUGGGGCUGAAGCAAAAGGGACUUGCAGAGCUGGGGCUGAGGCCUGGGCCAGUGCUGUCUCUGGUGCUCCUGCAGCUUUCUUGGCUGCAGCUGGGGACACAGCUGUCCCCCACUCAUCUUUGGAGGGCCAUGACUGCUCCAGUGGGGGUGUUGCUUGAAGGUCAUGGCUCUGCUUCGCCCCAGCUGUCAGGUCAGGUUCCAAGCCCAGCCCUGAGCUUGCUUCCCAUCUGGAACUGGUGAAGCCGUCGUGCCCCAGUGCCUCCACUGUGAAAUGGGCAUUUGCGGACCCCCUGGGCUCUAUCUGGGCCUUUACCAAGAUUAAGUGACUGAGGGGGGCCUCAGGUGGCUUGUGUGCCCGGUGGAACGCCCGAUACAUGAGCGUUGGAGUUGUGGGUGAGUUUGACCACUCCCCCACUACACACAGCUCAUCAGUUUUAGUUGGCCUACGGUUGUCUGGGCUGCUUGCGAUCCCCAGCCCGCUGUGUUGUGCCAGGCGCGAGGGUGCCCUGUCCUGGACCUGGGAGACAAGAGCAGAGAAUGGCAGGUAAGAGGCAGUCCCUGGAUCCCUCCGCAGCCAGCAGCUCUGGGCUGCCCUGCCUCUGAACUCCAGCCUCCCUCCUCCAAGAGUGAAGUAGACCAUGUCCCCCCCACAGAGGCCUAUGGGCUCCCAUGGGGUCUCAGUGGUGUCCUGGUCAGCAGAGAGCUGCCCUGGCUGCCAGACUCACCUUGGCCUUUUUCUGCUUGAAGCUCCAGGAGCAUCGGGGGUGAGGGCUGGCCCAGCGUCCCCACCACUGGGCGAGGCGCCCACAGCAGGGUUUCUUGGGGCCUGGGCUUGGGCAUCGCGGGAUACAACUCAGGAACAUCUUCCUGCGAGACUCUAUCCAGGUGAGCUGGCUUAGACUCAACUCUGGAAUGUUGGGGUGGUUGCUGGGGCACCCAGUUCUCUAGGUCAUCACCAACGUAGUGAGGUCACUUCCUGUGGCUCCUCAACUGAGCCCCCUCCUCACACAAGAUAUCCUCAGAUUCUACUUGGACUCUUCCUAUUCUACUUCUACCCCUAUGCCAUGUGCCCGCUGUCCACAGUUGCAACAACCCAGGCAGCACCUGCCAUAGGGCUGGCUUGGGCCCAGACAGUGCCACAGCUGGGCUCGGACCUGCUCUCACAUCCUUGUACAAGUGUGAGCCUGCACAGUUCAUCGUCCCUCUCUGGACAUUCUCAGUCUCUCUUGUGGUUUCUGGGGAUCAUUCUAGCAUGUGCUUGCAAGGGAUGCCAUCAGUUGUGUAGUGCCAAGGAACCCCUAGGCCUGGCAUCACCUGUACUGAUGCACAAACACUCUAGAUGUGAGAUGGUUCCUAACCUGGGGUAGGGGUUUCUGGGAACUGGGAGUUAAGCAGUUGGCAGUAUCAGAUUGAAGAGUGCCAGGCAGCUUGUGGGUAACACUUGCUGCAUCCUGGGUCAAGUUGUCCAUCACCAAGAUCUGAGCAAUGGUGGCAGCAGCACAUCUAGGAGCACUUAGUCUUGGGGACACUUACUCCACCUUAUGGCACUCAGGUGUGGCUUGGGACCUGGCCAUGCUGAGCUGCUGAUGCAGAGAGCUGAGAGGUACACGGUCACCUGCACUCCUGUUUGUCCAGCAUCUCACAGGAUUCAGGGCUGAGUCAUUUAGGCAGUUUGAUAAGUGUCUUAAUUAACGUAGACAGGAUUGCCAGGACCGGAAGUUCAGCAUCAGUUCAGAAUUGUGGAGGAGAAAGGCACAGCCUUUACCAGGACGCCAGAAUGCUGGGGUGAGGCUCUCCCCUGGGAGACAGAGGAGUGCAAAGGGAGAGGUCUGAGAAACCCCGAGCCUGGUCUCUGGGUUGCUGGGUCUGACCUUCCCUGCUUCACAGCAUGGGGCCACUUUAUUCAGGGUUAGAGACCUCUGCCUUCUAUAGGUAGAAAUGGAGAGGGAAUUUCAUGCUUCUCAAUGGAUGACUGUGAUGUUGGCUUUGCCUUCCCAGCACUUGAGGUACAUCUGGGAUUUUAUUCUUUUUGCUCCCCCAUCCCUAGUGACUUUCAUGUUUCACCAAUUUUGUGCACCUGUCCAUAGGGGGAGGGGGUGGCAGACUCUUUUCCAAGCUGGAAUCUGGACUUAAACCAUCCCCCAACUGACUCUUGUAACUCGACAUUCCCAAAGAGGAUAGGAUAGAAAGCAGGCUUCCUGGGACCCUAAUGCCCAGAGAAGUCGGGUGGGUCUAACAGGUGCUGCCUAUCUCAGAGUGUCCAGAAAACCUAAACACCAUCAGUGCUAAGGCUAUUCCUCUUUAUUGGUGGACACUGGCUACUGUGUUUCUUGAGCCAUAAUAUGGAGAACAUCAGCAUGGGAACUGAAAGAUGUGGAGGCAGGCUGCUGGCUUGCUGCCGGAUCUCCUGUCUAUUCCAGGGACCCCAAUAGGAUGAGGGACACUGACAUGGGGGUGAGCCUGAAACCACAAAGCGCCCAUCCAUGUCAGUGGUUAAGUUAGAGCCUCGCCCAUGUGCCUACAGCAAGCAGGAAGGACACUGGUGAGGAGUGGCCCAGGUGUCCCCAGAUGGGAAGGGCUCAGCUCCCCUCAACAGAAGAAGUCCAAUGGGUUACUGGCUCUGCAGAUGGCCUCUGGAUAAAAUCCAAAUCCCAUGUGAAGCCCUUGGUUACCCUAGAGAUAGGAGAAGCUGGAGAGAUAGAGGAUGGACACUGGAGUCACAAAAUGAGCUGUUAAAGGAGUUUCCGUGAGAGCAGACAGAGAGAGGAGUGGAACCUCUGCCCUGUGGCCUGGUUUAAAAGUUCUGACUCCCACAUUUCCUGAGCUCUGCAUCCCACCUGGGAAGAGACUGGCUAUGAAAUCAGACGUUUCUGUGUCUAAGUCAGGAUGGAGCAGCAGUGCAUGUCUAAGGCAUUGAAAGCUUCUCAGGGUGGGAUUUGAAGCAGGAGGUUGGACACUGUGGGGUUACACACAUCCCACAUGGUGAUGCUAAGGUUCCAGGCCUACCUCCACUCUGAGUCUAGCUUCUUGUGUAUGUAGUCCUGGGGAGGCAGCACAUGCUGUCUCAACUGGUUGGGUCCCUGCCACCCAUGUGUCAGACCUCAAUUGAGUGCCCAGCCCCAGUAGUGGCAUUUCAGGGGUGAAUCAGCACAUGUGUGAUAUCUGUGUCUAUUUCCCAGAAAUAAUAUUGUAUAAAAGUCUGUAGAGGGAAAUUUGAGAUGUGGGCUGCAUAUCAUUGACAAAGUGGUAAUGGAUAGGUUUUGGUUUCCAAGAUGGCUGGAGUCCCUAGGUUGUAGGCAUAAGAUACAAAUGACUUGGUGCCUGGAGACCCCAAUUGUCUGGAAACCAUCCAGUGAGACCCUACAUAUGAAUCAGUUAGCCUUUGCCAAGAAAUUCAUGAGAAGUGCUUAAAGGUCUGUUCCAAGUGCCUUAGCCUGUGUUAGAGCAGCCACAAAAAGGAAUUAGGAUUCAGCCCCUUUGAAUUAUCUAUGGAAGGCUCUUUCCCAAUUGGGCUGGCCCCUUGACCUGCCAAAGGUUGGAAAUGAGAACAAGACAAUACAAUGAGGGCAGGUAGUGGCUGCUCUCAUCUGAUGUGCACCUCAGACCUAGUCUCACCUACACAGGUAGGCAGCCCACCCCCUUGAUUGUAAACUGAGCUCUCUUCAGGAGCAGUUUAAACCCUUCUGGGCAGGACCACACUUGGCGCUGUUUACCACUGAUUGUUCUCCUAAGCUUCUCCAUGGGACUCCUUGCAGUCACCACAGCUGAGAGCAGGGAAGUUCCUUGUCUCUCCUGAACCCCGGAUGGCUCCUUGGAGAGCCCCUGUCAGACCUCAGACUGCUGCUCUACAGGGCGACACAUUGAAUGUCAGGUUAUGUGGGGACGCCUGAAGCCAGUGGACCCUGACUGUGGACACCCGGAUGUGCGGCCUCCCAGCGUCCCUGGCGAGUCCCGAAUGGGCCACAGCAGCGGGUAACGGAAAGAGGAGGCCGCCAUGACGAUGGCGUCCUUUCCUCCCUCCAGGACGCCAUUUUGGAAACAUUUUCUUUAUCAGGCGUCCUUGGAGGUAUCCGAAGCUUUCCCCCUAAAUACUUUAUUAGAAGUUUCUAACAGAGUAGUCGGCAUUUACAGCCCACACGCAGGCCCCCAAGCUGGGGCACUCCCCGCACCCCUCCCCGAAUGGCGCUCGCAGAUGAGGGGCUGGGAUGCCAGCUCCAGGUGGCUUCCUGGGCCGAGUCCCGCGGCUGCUGCUUGCAUUGCUUUACCCUCAGCACCGCGGUCGAUGGGGGACUUUACACCCCAACCCGGCUUUGGGGACUGAGGUCAGGGUUCUGGAUUCCUGAAACCUCUGCUGCCUUGCGGGGUCCCUGUAAAUGUCAGUUGCCAGUGGCCUGCACUGAUGCUGAAGCAGACGCCCCCUGGCGGUCGAAAGCUGGUGGCGGACUCUGGGCUCAGGACCUUUAUGUUGUGUGCCCAGGGAGCAUGGAGUUGCUCUCUCCUGUGCUCCUGGGCGCUGGAAGCCUCUUUUGGCAUCCCAGACGCCGAAACUGCCAUAGCGCCUUUGUGUCUGCAGUGCCCACGCCUGGCACCUGUCCCCGGCCUGUGCCGCCCCCGGACCACCGCAAUGGUAGACUGGACAUUGAGUGCUGGGCCUAUUUUGAAUGAAGAGACACAAUGAAGUGUAUUUCCCUGUAGACAUGGGACACUAUGAAAUUGGUGAUGAGCACUAACAGGUUCCCAGUUACAACUUGCGGUUUCAGUCUCAUCUGAGUUGAAGUCUUGGCCCAGACGUGUGCUGGCUGAGGUGUUGUUGGCAGGACAUUUUAGUAUCCGUCCAGGCACAGUGGACAGAGAGAGAAAGAGAGAAAGGUCUUCGUUUUCUGUUGGUUCACCCCCCAAUGGCCGCUGUGGCUGGCACACCACGCUGAUCUGAAACCCGGAGCCAGGUGGUUCCUCCUGGUCUCCCAUGUGGGUGCAGGGCCAAAGCACUAGAGCCAUCCUCCACUGCACUUCUGGGCCACAGCAGAGAGCUGGAAUGAAGGGGAGCAACUGGGACAGAAUCCGGCGCCCCAACCGGGACCAGAACCUGGUGUGCCGGCGAGCAGGUGGAGGAUUAUCCUAUUGAGCUAUGGUGGCACUGACCACAAGCCACACUCUUUACCCAGAGGCAAAGUCCUCCUUUUAUGGAGCUGAGGACGUCUAAAUCCUCAGUGAUUUUGCAGGACCACUGCUGACAGGAAUCUACCUGUUCUUGGAAGUGAGACAGGUGUGGUGCUGGGUCAUUUAUGUUUUCUUUGAGAGUGAGACAUAAUUCUUUGUAUUUCUUUGUCUUGUCUCCUGAAAUUGCCAGUCUGGCUGCUCCUGGCCCAAUCCCUGGCAACAAACACCCAACGAGAAAGAAGGGUUGCUAAGUCCAAGUCACUCUUGACACAGGGUGUUCGAGGUAUGGGACAUCAAGUCUGGUUGAGAGUAUAGGAGAAAGGGUGAAAUAGGAACCUAAGAGGACACGUGCCUCUCCAGUUCAUGGGAAGACAGUUGUACACCUGGAUGCCACAGAGCAAGAAUGCUUCUAUUUAUGGUCCCCCGCAUGCUCACCAAUGCAUCCUUGGGCUGGGUCCUGACAGUGAUGGUUCAGGUAGAGUGGGAGUAUUUGCCUUUGUGGCUAAUUUUUCUAACCUGUGGGAGUAGGGGAAGGAAAUGGAGGAAACAGGGAAGGCUGGGAGAGUAAUCGUCCAAUUAAAGAGUUUGUGGGACAGUGAUCCUACUUCAUGGAAAAAGGGAAGGGAGCACGUAGGAUGCAUUUAAGGGCUUGACCUGUCAGCAAAGCACAGAACAUGCCUUUGAUAGGUAAAUAAGGUUGGUUGAAUUCUUCCUGUUUUGGGGAAAGUACAGGGUAUCCCUUCAGUCCUGUGGCCUUUGUCCAGAUUGGCUGGGAAGUGGGAAGAGUGUGUACAGAUCCCGCAUGAAGCGAUAGUGGGGUUAUGUUCAGAGAAGAGAUGAGAGGAAGCAUUGAUGAGAGCUGUGUAGAGGCUUUGGGAGGAUGUGAGAGAUAUAUAGAUUUGGGGACCACAAAAAGGGCAGCAGGUUAGAAGCAGCAGACCGUAGUAAAGCAUGCAACCCAGAAGAGAUAAGAGAGUGCCGAGAGAAGUCUUCUGCUAUGGGUCCAUUCGGUUUGGCUGGUUUCUGACAAAGUCUAGGGCUAAUAUCACAACAAAAGAUAGCAACGGGGUACAGUGCUUUAAAGUGAGAGAUGUGAACAGAGGAUAAAAAAGGGUAUCUGAGUAGGGUGAAUUCCUAGAGAUUGCCCUGGAGCUGAGGGUCCAGGAGUUGGAAGAGUGGUCUGGCAGAGUUGGAUAGCACUGCCUUACUUUUAGAGUUACUUGGAGGAAUCUGUAGAAGUGGCAGUGGCUUGUGGAGAUGGUUUUUGCAGUAGUGGGGGAGCCGCGUCCACCUGAGAGUUGUGGGACCUGUGGGGUAGGGUGUGCUGUAGAGGUGUUACUAAUUGUAAUGGAGUGAAUGUACAGUGUGGGUGUCUCCCGAGUUUAGCAGUGGUGGUGGUACGUUGUGAGUGUUUGCUGUCACGCAUUUCGACAGGGCUCAAGGGUGCAUUGUCGGAGCAUAGGGAAGAAGGAACACACGGACACGACACUGUCUUCCCAAUGAAAGGCUUUUUAUUGCUCACUCCAAUUCACACUAGGGCUUUCCCACUGCAAACCAAUCUCUGUAGUUAUGUUCAUUACUCCACACAUCAUAACACACACCUGGCAUCAAAGCAAUCUCAAAGGCAGUCCAACUGUAAUAAUGUAAGUACAGCGAAGCAGAAGACAUUCUUAAUCAUAGGGUCGAGGCACAUUCCUUCCUAUUACAUAUGGCUAAUAUCAUUAUAAAUGCUGCGUUCUUAAGGUUCCUAUCACAUUCCCAAGAAGUGAAAGUUCAAAGUCCAGAGUCCAGAGUCUCAUUACCACUCGGAGAGAUGGAUCUCAGAACAGUCACUUACAGGCAUGCAGUAGUGGGAUGGCUGUCACUCUGAGCAGAAGCCCGGAGUUCCCAGGGGAAUGACAAGGUAAGGAGUUGGAGAGGUCCCCUGCUGAGAGGUCUGGUCCAGCUGUGUGGUCAGGCCAGGCAACAGGCUGAUAAGGGGUCCAGGUGAGGGAGUGGCUCCACUGGAGUUUGGUCCUGUAGUCACCGUGUGUUGCUUAGCAAGGGGGCUAGUGAGCUGCCUCUUAAGCUCCAUGUGUAAGGAGAUCCAGAGGUUCACCAGCACUGGGCCCUUGAUCGGUUGUCAUCUUGUGCCAUUACAGAUCCAUGUGUAACAGGCUGCCUCUUCAGCUCUGAAUGUGUGAAGAUCCAGAGGUUCACAGACACCGGGACCAUGAUCCUUUUAUCCUUGUCAUUUUGAAGGGAGAGUCUCCAGGAGCGGUAGGGUGUCACCAAUCAGUUGUGCUCCCUCUGGGAGUUUCCCGGGGUGCCACCAAUCUGUUGUUUAGGACAGGGUGUAUCUGCAGUAUUCCUGGGGUGCAGCCAAUCCCUGUGCGAGUAGGAAGGUAACUUGAGGUUGUCGUCUGUUGCGUACAGGUUAUCAGACUGCCCAGGGAUGUCUGUUCAGUCUGAUGAGGAGCAUCUUUCUGGCAAGCGCUGAGCUUGACAUAAGUGAUGUCAUCAGCUUCUGGCUUAGCAUAAGUGACUCCAUUUUUAUUUCCUAUUUUUGCUUGUUUGUGGGCAGCAGUGAGCUAUAACUCUCUAUUGGGGCUACCAGUGGCUUUCUCCACAGUCCAGAGCCUUUUAAUCAUUGGGUGGGCAGUGAUCUGUGACUCAUUUUUGGGAGUCCUGUGGGAUUCUCCUCAGUGGUAUCCAUAGCACUUCAUUAGAGUCUGUUGCAUUUCUGGGUGAGUGCUUGCCUCAGGGCCAGGCCAUGCUAAGGGCUGUGCUGGUGUUUGCUGUGGGUGUUUUGCCCGAGUGAGGCAGAGGAGGUGGCAGGGCCUCUGGGGACAGCAAGCCCGGUGUUGGGGAGAGGAAGAGGAGGGAUCUCUGCUGAAGGGUGGGAGCACUCAUGGGGGAAGCAGUCAGGCUGGGUAGGAACACUGGGCCAGAGAGUGGUGGUCUUGGGAGCUGAGCUGAAGGGAGUCCACCCAGCAUGCUGGGAGUCUGAGCAGGGGUCAGCUGGCUGUGAGUGCAUUAGGACGCUGGUCAGGUGUGUGUGAGUGGGGAGCAGGGCUUCACUUGGGAGCCUUGGCUCAGAAUCUUCCUCCUUCAGACCUCAGACUCUUUCCAGUCUCACCAGGACAGUCACUCCCCAGUCUCCACUGCGGUCUGUGUCUGCAGCCCACGGCAGGAGAUUUGGGGGUCACCACCGAAUAACUUGUGGGCCCUGGGCCACCAGGCUCAGUUCCUGUAGAGAGCAAGCCCCCAGCGGAUCAGGAGCUGUGUCUCAUGUGUGGACACUCAGGGCUGCUGCCUCCUGAGUCUCUUGCUGUUGUCCUGUGGGCCAUUUGGCAUCUGUAGUCUGGACAUGGAGGCAUGAGAAUGACCUGAAUGUGCAGAGUUUGUGGAGAGAAUGACUGGGAGGAACAGACUCAAGUUUUUGGUCUUCGUCCACCUGCUGUAUUACUUAGGGAAGGACAAGUGUCGAUAUUAACCAAAGUACAGGGUACACUUGGAGGAGCUAGGCCAUGGAGGGAGCUGGCUGAGGAGCAGGGCUGGGUGUGUAGGAGGGACAGGGGGUGAGUGCCGGGUGUGCAUCCUGUUGGCGAUGCGUGACUUCCUCUCAUAGGGUUCUCCCUGAAGGGCUGACAAGAACAUGGCUGCGCUGCCCUUGCGCUCUGUGAUUCUUCCAUAUGCUUUUGUUGUGUUGAGAACCCUGCAUGGGAAAUCUGCCAUCUGAGGCUUAUCUGCUUCUCUAGAAUUUCUAAAUCUUUAAAAUAACAAGAUUUAUUUAUGAUUUUGAAAGUCGCAGUUCCAGAAAAGACAGAGACAGAGAGAAUAUCUUCCAUCUGUUGGUUCACUCCCAAGAUGGUGGCAGUGGCUUCCCUGGUCCAAGCUGAAGCCAGAUACUUCUGCCCAGUACCCUGUGUGUGUUGCAGGGGCACAGGUACUUGGGCCAUCUUCCUCUGCUUUUUGCAGACCACUUGCAGGGAUCUGGAUUGGAAUUGGAGUAGCCAGGACAGGAACCGGUGCCCACAUGGGAUGUGAGGGUUUGCAGGCUGUGGCUUUAUCCAGUGCACCACAACACGGGCCCCGUUUCCAGAACUUCUUCAUCUCCCCGCCUCCUGCUUUUACUGGAUCCUGGAUGGAAGUCUUUCUUUGUUGUCCAAGACGACUGCCUCAGUCACGUGAGCACUGGUGUUGGUUGAGUGUCCCCAGUGUGCUUUCCACGGUUGUUCUGAUAGCACGAGAGGACAGAUUGCAUUUUUGAUUCCCUGGGAAGAUUAUCCAGGGUGAUCUCAUACCUGUGAAGGAGGGCAGUGAACCAAGGGUUAAGUCAGCAGGCAUGUAGUGAAUCCUCUUUUGUCCUGUGGACAUCUUUAGAACAUUUUUGGGGAAAAAAAAUGACCUGAUCCUCAGCAGUAUUCUUAAACUGCUUACAUAUAUAGAAAUGAAGUGAGUUUUCAUCUCUGUAAUGGGGAACCUGUUUAUAAAGGGGGCAUGUAUUUUUAUAGAAAUAGAUUUGAAAGUGCCCAAGUUAAGCAUUGUGUAUUUGUAUGCAGUUAAUAUUUAGAAUCUAUGUUGCAACUUAUAUGGUUAACAUUCUCAUAGAUGGGGCCUGCACUGUGGCUCAAAGGGUUAAAUCCCUGGGCUGCAGUGCCUGCAUCCCAUAUGGGUGCUGCACUUCGAGUCCAGCUCCCUGCUAAUGUGCCUGUGACAGGCAGCCGAGGAUGGCAGAAGUCGUUGGGCCCCUGCACCCAUGAGGGAAAUCUGGAAGCAGCUCCUGGAUCCUGGCUUCAUGUUGGCUCAGCUCUGGCUUUUGCAGUCAUUUAGGGAGCGACCUAGUGGGAUGACCUCUCUCUCUUGGCCUCUGCAUCUCUUCAUAACUCUAUGAAAUAAACCAAAUAAAUCUUUAAAAGAAAUAGUACCCAUAGGAAAAAAGUAAAGUGGAAGCUCAUUUGACCAGUGCACCUAAUAGUUUCUAAUUCUUGGUCAGAAUACGAACUAAAUUGGAGGCUGUCAAGGAACAGAGGGUUAAGCCUCCCCUUGGGGCAACCCCAUUUCUUAUCUGGGUGCCAGGUGAAGACCUGGCUGCCCUGCUUCUGAUCCAGCUCCUCUUGGAUGCACUGAGAGGGAGCAUUCGGUGACUUGAGUCCCUGGGCCUCUGAUACCCACAUGGGAGACGCAGAUGGAGUUUCUGGCUCCUGGCUUCACCUGGUCCUGUCUUGGUGGUUGUGUGCAUUUGGGAAGUGCACCAGUUAAUGGGAGACUUCUCUCCGUGUGUCUCUCUCUCUACCUUUCAAGUAGGUGAAAAUAAGUAGACAUUUCUUUGACUGUAUUUUUUCUUAUUAUUUGGAGGUUUGCAGUUUUAUUAAGAAAAAGGCAAAGACAAACCAAACUGAAAGGCGGAGUCUCCAUUCAGCAGCGCCUGAGUGUACCGGACAUCCAGAGUGGCACAUAGGGUUGCGAGCGGGCUCCGUGCUGUCCUGUUGACAUACGAAUGCCCUGACACCCAGGCCCAGCUGCCUGUGUCCUGCCUCAGCUUGUACGGCUCAUCGGGAUCAGUGGGAGCAGACAGCAGGCUGAGUAGUGCACAGGCCAAGGAAGGCAGUCUGGGACCCUGAUUGAGACAGGAUGGUGAGGGUUGUCCAGCCAUGGGAAUGUUGUUAAUGUAGCUGAGCUGCAUGCUCUAAAAUUCUGUGUUUUGUGGACUCUGCUCGAUUAAAGGAAGCAAACAGGUGUUGUAUCAGGUCUGGCCCGCAGGUGCUGGGAUAGUGACAUCUGGGGACAUCUCCUCGCUGGCAUGGGUCUGCCGUGCAUCCUGGAGACUCCUGUCCAGGCCUUGGGUCUGCGGAUCUUUCGCCACUGUCACUUCUGCUCCAGCCUCAUUUCUCUGCCUACUGAGCCUUGAGGUCUCACGUUGUGGCUCCCUGACUGGAGGGCACACCUUUGGAUCUUCUUGAUGGCAGUCUGAGAGGGGCUGAGCUAUUUUGCAUCCUGGGAGGUGUCUCUGUCCAGGCUCCCUGCUCCUUGGCAGCACAGCCUGCCUGCUGGGGGCCCCCUUCUGCUUCUCCCUGGACAGCCUGACCUGCUCUCCUCCUGGCUCUUACUGCCCAGCCCCCUACCCUAGGAUACCUUCCCAUGCCGCACGGGUGACACCUGAUCCUGGGUCUCACCCCACAGUGUCAUUCUCCUGUGGUAUCCCAUCGUGGGACAGACUCUGCAGCUGUGGUGGAGGGCCCUGAAUCAGCGACUGUGUCAGUGUAAAGGGAGACGAUGUGUGUGACACUGAGUGAGGCAGGCAGGACCUGAGGGGACCUGACACUCCCCUGGACUUGAUUAAGAACCUGACCGUACAUGAGCUCACCCCACAGGAGCAUCCGAGCAAACCACCCAGGCCAGGCAUAAAACAGGGAUGCAGCCCUACAGCCACAAGGAACUGAGACGGCAGCACACCAGAUGGCACCAUGUAACCUCAGGAGAGACCUUGAGCCUGUAGCUCCUGACCUGCCCUUGCUCCCCACCUCUACCUCCUCUGUCCCCCUGAGUUCACUGGGCUUGUUCCUGCGGGGAAACAAACGCCACACUGCAGGGCUGUGUCUGCAUUCCUAGGGAGAUACACAGGGCAUCAGCCUUGUCCUCUCCAAUGCAGCAGAAGCACAGAGACUCAUGCUCCAUCAGCUGUGACUCACACUAGCCCAUCUCUGUCCACUGCCCUCGUCCCUUCCUCCUGGCCUCUGACAACUGCCGUUGUGCCCUGAGCCUCCAGGGCAUCACCACUUUGCAGAUUCCACAUGUGAGUGAGGUCAUGUGGUGUUUGUCUUUCUGUGCUUGGUUGAUUUCACUUAACCCAGUGAUUUCCAGAUCCUCCCAUGGUACCACAAAUGACAAGAUUUCAACCUUUUUUAUAGCCGAGUAGUAUUCCUAUGUGUACACGUACCCCUUUUUUUCUUUUUCCAUCCAUGGUGGAUGGAUGUGUAGGUUGUUUGCAUUCCUUAGCUACUGGGAACAGGACUGCAGUAAAACUGGGGGCACAGAUCUCUCUUCCCCAGACUGACUGCCUUCCCCUUUAUUGUACACUGGCAGUAGGGUUGCUGGAGUGGAUGGUAGGUCUAGUUUCUGUUUAUUGAGCAACUUCCUUACUCUUUACCACAUCUACAUUCCCACCCACAGAGUGCCAAGUGUUCCCUCCCCUCCACACACAUCCUCACUAGUUAUCGUUCAUUCCUUUGGUAUCCUAUUGUGGUUUUGCUUUGUAUCUCUCUGAGAUCAGUGAAGAGCACUUUUGUCCCGUAUUUCACAUUAUCUGUAGUUCCCUUGAGUGCUGUGGAACAGGAGAACCACUGACAUGUCUUACUUUAAGGAAUGUCUAUUUCCGAGGCCAGCACUGUGGCGCAGCGAGUUGAUAUCCUGGCCUAAAGUGCUGGCAUCCCAUGUGGGCGCUGGUUCGAGACCUGGCUUUCCAUUUCUGAUCCAGCUAUAUGCUAUGGUGUGGGAAAGCUGUAGAGGAUGGCCUAGUUCCUUGGGUUCCUGCACCCACAUAGGGGACCCAGAGGAAGCUCCUAGCUCCUGGCUUCGGAUCGGCGCAGCCCCGGCUGUCGCUACCAACUGGGGAGUGAACCAUCGGAUGGGAGUCCUUUCUUUCUCUGCCUCUCCCCUCUCUGUGUAACUCUGAUUUGCAAGUAAAUAUAUAGAUCUUUUUUUUUUUUAAAAAAAGAAAUGUCUAUUUCUAACUGAGACUCUUAAGUCUGACUUAUUUGUUGUUUCUUGUUUUUGCUGUUUAGUUGUUUUUAUGUUGACUUUACUAACAGCUAUGUCAGAUGGAUGGCUUGUAGACAUUGUUUCUUUGCUGUACAAAAGCUGUUUAAUUUGGUGAAAUCCCAUUUGUCUGCUGGUUGGCUUUGUUUCCUAUGCUCUUGGGGUCUGAUCUAAGAAAUCCUUGCCCAUGGCACUGUCCGGAAGCAGUUCCCCUGUGUUUUCUUCUAAUUGUUUCAAAGGCUCAGAUCUUACAUUUCAGUUUGUCUUCUGUUUUCUUUACUUUUCACAGAUUUAUUUAUUUAUUUUAAAGUCAGAAGUACACAGAGAAGGUUAGGCAGAGAGAAAGUAGUUGUCCAUCCACUGGUUCACUCCCCAGAUGGCCACAAUGGCCAUGGCUGUGCUGAUCCAAAGCCAAGAUCCAGGAGCUUCCUCCAGGUCAGCCACAAGGGUGCAGGAGCCCAAGGACUUGUGCCAUCUUUUACUGCUUUCCUGGACCACAGGUGAGAGCUAGAUUGGUAGAGGAGCAGCUGGGACUACACCAGCACUCAUCUGGGAAGCUGGUAUUGCUGACGGAGGCUUUACCCGCUAUGCCACAGCACCGGUCCCUUCAUUUCUUUUUUGAAACCAGUAUGAAUAACCCACAGCAUUGAUGAGUAUGUUCUGUGCUGAUUGGUACCAUGUUUUCUUCUAGGUGCAUUUCAUUUAAUAAAUUUGUUCUUCCCAAUAGUGGUAUAGGUUCUGUGUUGCAGUUGAGGCUCCCCAGGCACAAAGCCUAAGCAGUGAAGAGGCUAGUGUCCCAGAGCAGGAUUUGGCCUCUGGGCUGUAAGUCAGGGACUGUCACUGAAUCCAGACCUCAUGUUAACUGCCCUGGAUGGUGAAGAUACUGCUCUGUCUCUCCCCUCUGCCAGGCUCUGUGCUGUGAGAUCCUCUUCCAGUCUCCAAGAAGACCUUGACCUCAGCAUCAGCAUCCUUCUGGCCCUAGGGUGGUCAACUGGCAUGGUGCCCACACAAGUGAAGGAACAGUCGCUUCUGGAUCACUCUGAUCACUUUCUGUGGACAGGUUUCUUGACCUACAAUUGACAGAACAUGAUGCAGAGCGGGCAGUCCUGGCCCAAGGAUGAUCCCGAGGAUUGGAGGAAGGCCUGGGUAAGACUUGCUAGUUGUAGAGCAUGGAGUCGGGGUAAAAGAAUGAUGAAGUUUGCUUGGGCUAAUCCUGUUUGGCCAGGGAUUGAAUUGGGGCAGAGUCCUGACUUGCCUGCAGGGGUUGUGGUUUUCUACAAGGAUUUGUAUUAUGUGAAUUAUGCCCCCAGGAACCUUUGGCAUUGAUAUGAAUACUGGCCCUCUGUCCUCGAACCCACUUAGGAUCUUUGGGACUGGUAAUGGUGUAUAUUACUGAGUUGGGUUCCCCAGGACUGCAAGGAGGUGAAGCAGGGACCACUUUUAAGUUUUAAAUCCUGACCUCAGCUUUUAGGGGAACAUUAGGGGGUAAGGGUCAUCCAUGCAUAUCCAUGAAGGGCAAUAGUACUGGUGAGGAGGGGGAGAGUCUGGGGUUGGGCAGCCCCAUUUCUGUCUAUCCUUGGCUAGAUUGCCUUCUUGGAAACACAUGUGUUUGUAUUCCUGGGUAUAAGACCAUUCCCAGCCUAUUCCCCUGCAUUGUAUUUGUCCUUUGUUUGCAACCUCACAAAUAUUGAACUGAAUAAUAGCUGGGGAGGGACCUGGUUUUAUGAUGUUGUAGACCUCUAGGAUUAUACCAUAUUUGUCCCUUACCUGAAACUGUCAGAAAUGAGUCUGGUAUCAAUGUCAUUGGCUAAUGAACUGGACUUGAAGAUACGGAGUCCCAGCCAGGGUACUCACAUCAUCAGGGCCGUGAGUAAUUUUGUUGUCAUAGUUGACACAGGUAUGAGCAUUGUUGUGCGCACCUUCCAGGAGACAGAUGAACAUAUGAUGAAGUCUCUGAGCACCCAAAUCUCCAGGCUGAUACGUCCAGUUUGGCUGUGUGCCCGGGAGAGUGUGUACGCCACCUGAUAGUGUGAGGGGUCUUGUUGAUGCAGGUAGUCUGUAUGAGUCCAGGCUGAGUGCCAGAUGCGCUCAUUUUCAUCAGCAGGGAGCCUGGAGGUUAGGUAUUUUAGACAUCUCACCAGGGUAAAAGUGAGGCAGAGGAACUCCGUUUUGUAUUUAGAUGGGCUUUCUGAAAGGGAGCCUAAUUUUUCCUCAGGCUGUCUCAUAUCAGACAAUGAGAAGGGGACAUGACCCAAAGGGACAAAUACCAUAUGUUCUCUCUAUCUGUGAUAACUAAUAGCGCACCUAAAAGGAAAUCUGUAGAGGUGAAAUUGAGAAGCAAUGGAAAGUGCUUGUCUAGACUGUUGAGGAGCAGUUUUUUUUUUUUUUUUUUUCCCCUUAAUGGAGAAUGUGACUGAGAAUGGAGAUGGAGGAGGAGGUGGGUGGGAAGGCGGGUAUGGUGGGCAGAAUCACUAUAUUCCUAAAGUUGUACUUAUGAAAUUUGUACUCGUUAAAUAAAAGGUAAUUUGUGGGGGAAAAAAAGAGAGAGAAGGGAACAUGAACACAGUGGGACACUCUGGGCUUGCCACCUCCAUUGUGGGCAACAUGUUUCUCUGUGCUCUGAGAUUGAGUUGGGGGAUGGGUUCUAGUGAUGCAGCUGCGUGGGGGAAGGAGCCAAUCAAUGUGGUUGGUAUGGGGAGGCAUGAGAAGAAAGGGAGGAGAUGGAUGAGUCUGCCUGACCUGAGGGGUUGCUGCGGGGAUCCUGUGGGAUCUCUAUGAUUGUGGAAGUGUUAGUGUUUUUGAGGGAGUUUCCAAGAGGGGCUGGGAGGUCAAGGCUGGGGCUGGGUUGUUAGGGGGGAGUUGAGUGGUUUGGGCAGAGCAGAGAGUGGGGGUCAGUAAGGAGGGUCUCAUUAGCUGGAUUGAAAACAGGUGGAUCGAAGGGUGAGGCCUCAGAUUCUGUGGUGGGCUUGGGAGGGAAAGAGGGGAAGAGAGAAGGACGUCAUAGGAGGAACAGUCCUUACACACAGACUGUUGGUUGUAAAGAGUUCUUGCAAGUAGGUACUUCAGACCACUUGCCAUUUCAUUUGAGGAAGUUGUAUAGGUCCACAAGGACGUUCUGAUCAAAGGUGCCAAAUUCUGGCCAGUGGUUGUGGUUGUCUGAUUUGUAUUGAGACCAAACUUGCAGACAAAAGCGCUUCAUUGGUAGGUUUGAAUGUGUGUUCUCUCACUUCUGGGUGCAGGACACGAGGAAGCCCCUUCAUCUCUCUGCAUCAGUUGCCUAAAUGCUGCAGUGAGGAGUCUCACAAGGGGCCCCCAAAGGGCUGCUGUGGGCAGUUCAGGAGUUCCCGUGUGCAAUGCUUGGCCAUGUCCAGGCCAUGCUAAGGGCUGUGCUGGUGUUUGCUGUGGAUGGUUUGGCUAAGUGAGACAGCAGGCCCGGUGUUGGGGAGAGGAAGAGGAGGGGUCUCUAUUGAAGGUGGGAGCACUCAUGGGGGAAGCAGUCAGGCUGGGUAGGAAUACUGGGCUGGAGAGUGGUGGUCUUGGGAGCUGGCUGAAGAGGGUCCACCAAGCAUGCUGGGAGUCAGCAGGGGCCAGCUGGCAGUGAGUCCAGUAGGACACUGGUCAGGUGUGUGUGAGUGGGGAGCAGGGCUUCACUUGGGAUCUUUGGCUCAGAAUCUUCCUCCUUCAGACCUCAGACUCUUUCCAGUCUCACCAGGACAGUCACUCCCCAGUCUCCACUGUGGUGUGUGUCUGCAGCCCACAGCAGGAGAUUUGGGGGUCACCACCGAAUAACUUGUGGGCCCUGGGUCACCAGGCUCAGUUCCUGUAGACAGCAAGCCCCCAGUAGAUCAGGAGCUGCGUCUCAAGUGUAAAAUUGUCCUUUGGGCCAUUUGGCAUCUGUGGCCUGGGCGUGGAGACACAGGAAUGACCUGAAUGUGCAGGGUUUGUGGAGAGUUGAUUGGAGGAACAGACUCCAGUUUUUGCUCUUUGUCCACCUGCUGCGUUAUUCAGGGAAGGACAGGUGUUGAUGUUAACCAAAGUACAGGGUGCACUUGGAGGAGCUAGGCCAUGGAGGCAGCUGGCUGAGGAGGCAGGGCUGGACAUGUAGGAGGGGCAGGGGGUGAGUGCCGGGUGUGUAUCCUGUUGGCGAUGCAUGACUUCCUCCUGUAGGGUUCUCCCUGAAUGGCUGACAAGAACAUGGCUGCGCUGCCCCUGCACUCUGUGAUUCUUCCAUAUCCUUUUGUUGUGCUGAGAAUCCCGCAUGGGAGAUCUGCCCUCAGGCUUCUCUGUGUCUCUAGAAUUUCUAAUU